UACGGAGGGUGCAAGCGUUAAUCGGAAUUACUGGGCGUAAAGCGAGUGUAGGUGGUCGAAUAAGUCGGAUGUGAAAGCCCUGGGCUUAACCUGGGAAUUGCAUUCGAUACUGUUUGGCUAGAGUCUGAUAGAGGGAAGUGGAAUUCCAGGUGUAGCGGUGAAAUGCGUAGAUAUCUGGAGGAACAUCAGUGGCGAAGGCGGCUUCCUGGAUCAAGACUGACACUGAGGCUCGAAAGCGUGGGGAGCAAACAGG
rnacentral:rRNA from 1 species